UCCAGCUCUUUUUCAACCUCUUUGAGUUCUGUGAUUUUUUCUUUGUAUCUUUUUCUCAGUAUGUUUGACUUGGUGAUUAGCUGGGCCAUGAGUGUGCCUGAUUUACCCUCAGCUUGCUCUGCCAGUUUGUCUGCGUCUUUUUCUAGGCUGUUUGCUACCUCAAUCAGUAUCAUCUUCUUUUUGAGCUGCUCAAGGUGGUGUUCUGCAACUUUUCUCUUUGUGCAUUGCUCGCAUGCUUUCUCUUUUCCUGUUCCAGGUGUAGCCGAUACUGAGACCUCGCUGAAGCUACAGCUGCCAAAGGCUCCUUUGUCAGAGAAAAGCCCCUCUCAACCAUUGCUUGGCCAUGGGAGAGGAGCAGAAGUUUCCUGGAGAAAGUCCAGAGUUUGGGGUAAAUGCCCGGAAUCUGGAAAUAUUGCUUUGAACACUUCUUCAAUCCCGUCAUUAGACCUGUAUGAAUUGUGGCUUGUCACAGUCCUCAGCACCCAUAUCACCUCUGCUCGGAGUGUUGGCGUAGAGCCACAAAUAGCUCUGAGGUCAGCUGACAUUGUUGGCUGUGGAUCAUCAUAACAUCCAGCGUUGUUGCAUUGACAUCAUUGCUAGCGGUGGAAAUGUUGGAGCAGAAGCUAGCAAUGGCGGGCUGCUGGCGUGCCUUUACGUAGUCUCUGUGUUUUUUGCUCUGUACAUGCGAUUCCACCGCUCUGAGCCCCAUUGUCCCAAGUUUGAAAUUCUUCCGACACAUAAUGCAGUUCGAUUCAUAAACAUUUCCAGGCACCGACCUUAACCAAGAAUACUCGUUUUUUUCAAGCCAUUUGUAAUUGAACUUGCAUUUCCCCAUGUUUCUAAGUGGCUAUCAACCAUUGCUAUAUUACCUGUGGCGAAAUUACGAAUCCCACUGACUAUGGCCACACCAAGACCCGCCCACAAAGCAGCUCGAAUGGUUGGGGUUAGGCCUUUGACCUCGAGUGGUUAAGGUUAGGAUAGCCGAUUGGUCAGGGGAUAGGUCAUGUACAAAUGAGGUUACAUUACCUUGCAUAAAAAAAUAUUCAACCUGGCUGGCAGAACGAUUGCCCGCAUCUUCGCGGUGACGUGAUACAAACAUAUUUAAGACCUAUCCAUUCGGAAUUUAAGACAAUUUAAUACUUUUUAAGGCCUUAUUUUUAGGAAAAGUGAUUUAAGACUUUUUAAGGACCCGUGGCCACCCUGUAUUAGUCAUGAUGUGUUCUUCACCAAAUUUAAUACCGUUUCAUAUUUUUAAUUAACGAGAGCUUUAGUAUGUUAUUAUACAGUGGAUAUUUUACAAGCAUUGACCAGGUAAAGCAACACUGACCACACCUGGUUAAGUAUGAAAACAAUAUACAUCCAACUAUUAACUAUACCCGCUUAUGUUGUACAGGACAGUGUAAAAUGCCAUAGGCUUAAGCUAUUAAUGGUGACUAGCAAGGUAUAGCAGUUAUAACCCCUGUCAUCUUGGCUCAAGCUAAAGUUUACUUGCAACAGCUUGGCUGAGAGGGAGUCUGGGCUUUUAUGGAGGGGCAGGAGCCACCCUAUAAAGAAAAGGGGCGCGCUGGAUUUAUAAGACAAAACAAGUGGCAUUAUGAAACUGCUUGCAGCACAAUGUGUAUCCCCGAUCAACUCGUUUGUAAAAAAAAAUCAUUAAGUUAACAUAACAUGUUGGAAGCUUUUACCUAAUACCUUUUUUAAAAAUAUAUUUAUUACUGUGUGUGAAACAGUUGUGUAGGAAGACAGGUAGGUAAUUGGACAGAAAGGUAUGAUCUCAGGCAGAUAUGUAGGGUGUCAGUCAGUCAACUCAGUGGUACACUAAAAAUCUAAGCACUGCAGAGAUUUACCUUUUGCCAUCUUCAGUCAUCCAUCACGUUACAGAGAGCUGUGUGACAAUUUGUUGGUCCACAUCAACAUUUGUGUGGUCUCUCGGAUCCCAAAGGAGCUUAUGUUAAGAUGAAAAAAGUAGAAAAGACAUGUAUUAAAUAUAGGCAUAACUCAUACAAUUAAAUAAGGAGGCAAUCAGCACACUACCUGUACUUACCCUUUUGGCCAGUCUGAAACACGGCUGUGGUUGGACACAGAGAGAGAAAAAUGAAAUUAAAACACUAGGAUAAAUGUUAGCCAAUAGCCCUAUCUGCAGCCUAGUGAUGACAAACAUUAGAAACAUAAAUUAAUCAUUUCUGCUAACUUAUAAUAAACAUAAUAUAAUUACCAGAUAAAAAGAACAGUAG